UCCGGGAGGGGGGCGGCGGGCACGCGCAAAACCCGGCCCGGAGCCGCCGCCCGGGACCGGCAGCCGCAACCUGCCCGGGCGCACAGGGGCCGGCCAGAAAACCCGGACUGGACUUUGCUUCCUUUAGCCUCCUCGAGCCCCUCUGGAAAAGCUGGGAGAGGGAAGGCGACGUGCUGGGUCCCUGCGUUGCAACAGGGAAUGGGGUGGGGGUGGGGGUGGGGGGCCGGGAGGACGGGCGCCAAGAAGACCCGGAGCGGACUUUCACCGCAGUAAAGUAGAGGAAAGGCACUGAGCCGGGUGAAGGGAGAAAUACAAAACCCGAGUUGGAUUACACAGAGGAGACGAACGGGGGAGGAGAGCUGCGACAGGGCCGAAGGCACCCAGGGUCGGCAAAUUUUGUGCCGGAUUCUUCCUCGGGAGACGGAGUAAUGCGUCAUGCCUAAUGCAGUGGCAACAAGCAAGACAUGGCCUAGAGUUUCGGGACCUGGGGUGGCAGGGGGCUCCGGAAGGGGGCUCCUUAGAGACUGAGGCUGCCCCAGUCUUCCUGGCAGCGACGUGUAAGGGGGAGGGGCAAAAAAAGGGCUGGACCCCGGCGUCAGUUGGUCCGGAGCGAGGGCUCCACCAAAGCGGGCAGGUAGAAGCGGCUUCAGGAUCCAGGGGCGAAGCGAAGGGAACGCACUGAGGCAGCCGCUACCCUGGGAGACCAGACCUACAAUCAGACGCGAGGGCGGGACGCAAAGCCAGGACUGGAGUCCGCGGGACGGGACGAGACCCCAGCCGAAGGUCCCGGGCAACCGGACGAGGGCUCGAGCUGACCGGGCGGCAGGAGCGGGGAGGGAGUGCUAGGGAGAGGCCCAGUUCUGGAAGCCUAGGAUAUGAUGGCGAAUAAGAGACACAAAGUUAUUGUCUUCCUGGAGCUUACAUUUUACUGGGGAGGCUGAUGAUUGAUGAGUAGCAAGAAGAAAACUUCAAGAGGGUGAUAAAUGCUGUGAAGGAAAAACAAUGAGGAAGCAUGCAGCUGGGUAUAGGUUAUGAAGGCAGGUCCUCAGUAAAUACAGCAGGAAAUUACUGUGUGAUCCAGCAAGUCCACUCCUAGGUAUGUACCUAAAAGAAUUGCAAACGGGUGCCCAAAUAGAUUCUUGUACACCAGUGUUCACAGCAGCAUUCUUCACACGAACUAGAAGAUGGAAACAACACAAAUGUACAUCGAUGGGUGAACUGAUAAGCAAGAGUAUCUUAUUCAUCCAUAAGAAGAAAUGAGUCCUGCUACAGGCUACAACGUGGAUGAACCUUGAAGACGCUAUGCUGAGUGAAAGAAGCCAGACAUAGAAGGCCAGAUAUUCCACUUAUAUGAACCGUCCAAUAAUGGGUAAAUGCAUAGAGGCAGAUCAGAUUAGGGGUUGCCAGGUGCUUGGGGAGGGGGAAUGGGGAGUGACUGCUUAUGCAGAUGAGUUUCCUUUGGGAUGAUGAAAACAUCUGGGGACUCAGUAGAGUUGGUGGUUGCCCAACACUGAGAAUGUACUCAAUGCCACUGCAUUGUUCACCCUAAAAUAGUGGUUACUUUUAUACUAUGUGAAUUUUAUCUCAAUUAAAACAAAAUUAAAGGGGGCAUUUGAGAGAGGGCUGGGAGACUGGGGAGGUGGCCACCACCAUCAAUCCAGGUGAGAGGUGAUGGAGGUCAGAUUUGAGGCAUAUCCUAGACUAAGACCAACAAGACUACUUAACUUUUGCAUUCCCCAUCAGGAUUGCUCAAAUGUCACCUCUUGACCACACAAUUGAAAACUGCAAACACUUCCAGAAAGCGAGAGUCCAGGAAGCCAACCCAGUCCAGACAGGACUGGUGAUGGAUUUCCAGUUAGGCAUCAACGGGGAAAGGCGCCCAAUUGGGCUGCGCUUCCCUCCCCAGCCGCUAGAGGCCGCUGUCCCGCUGCUCUGAGGCAACCAGGUGAGGAGGCCCCGCCCCUUCCCACAGGUGCUCGGGAGGCCCGCAGGGCCAAGGGAGGAGAGCUGAGAGGGCCAGGGGACAGAGUGAGGGUUUAAAGGAGAGAGCUGAGCAUGUCUGAGUUAGGGACUGCUGAGAGGAAGGAGAGAGAAAAAGCCACAGGAAGUUUGGAGGUGAGAAGAGAAGGAGACAGCAGAGUGCAGGCGUGAGGCAGGGAGAGCAGGGGGCCUGGCCAAUAGCGGAGUUGGGAGGAAACCACCCGGGGCAUGGUGUGCAACGUUGGGGGAGAGAGACAGGUGAGCAGGUGAGGAGUCAGGGAAGAAUCCUGGAGGUGAAGAAUGACCUUGGGAACUUGACAGAUGCUGGACACUGACCAAGUGACCAGGGACUGGCAAAUGGAAACUAACUUGGAGUGUAUUCCCACAAUGGGAUACAACACAUCAAUGAAAAAGAACAAAUCAUGAAUGCAUGUCCAGUACUGUGCAUGAUGCAAUCUGAAGAUACUGUUGAGCAAGAGCAGAAGACACGAAAAUGAUACCCUGCCCGACCCCAUUCCCAUGACCUUCGAAGCAGGCAGAAGUGACCUGUGGCAUCAGGGGAACCCAAGUUUUCCUGACUGGACCAUUGACAUUUGGGGCUGGUUGAUUCUUUGCUGUGGGGGAUGGUCCUGUACAUUGGAGGGAAACCUCCCUGGUCUCUCCCCAUGAGAUACCAGUAGCGUAUCCCCAGUUGUGACAAAUGUCCCUUUGGUGGGGGCACAGUCACCUUUAGGUGAGGACUCUGGGAAAGUGAUACUUCACGGCAGGACACUUACUGGAAAGUGGUCCUGGAAUAUUCUUUAUCUGGAGCUCGGUGGUAGUGACACGGGAGAACAUAUUUUUAAAAUUCAGAGCUGUAUUCUUAAGAGGUAUGUGCUUUACAAUAAAAGAGUUAACCCUCCAGCAUGCGUGACCCUUGAAAAUAUGCCAAGGGAAAGAAGCCAGACACAAAAGGCCCCAGAUUGCCUGGCUCCAUUUAUAUGAAAUGUCCAGAACAGGCAAAUCCGUAGAGACAGAAAGCAGGUCCAU